GAGUCUUUAGUAUAUUUUUAGUAUGCUUAAUGCAGAUUAGGUGGAUUUGUGGGCUUU
rnacentral:tRNA from 1 species